GACGAACGCUGGCGGCGUGCUUAACACAUGCAAGUCGAACGGAAAGGCCUGCUUUCCCUUGUGGAUUGCGGGUACUCGAGUGGCGAACGGGUGAGUAACACGUGAGUGAUCUGCCCCCAACUUGGGUAUAAGCCUGGGAAACUGGGUCUAAUUCCCGAUAGGACUGCAGGGUGGUGCCUGUGGUGGAACACGAUUUUCUAGUGGUUGGGGAUGAGCUCGCGGCCUAUCAGCUUGUUGGUGGGGUAAUGGCCUACCAAGGCGGCGACGGGUAGCCGGCCUGGGAGGGUGGACGGCCACAGUGGGACUGAGAUACGGGCCAGACACCUACGGGAGGCAGCAGUGGGGAAUAUUGCACAAUGGGCGGAAGCCUGAGGCAGCGACGCCGCGUGGGGGAUGACGGCCUUCGGGUUGUAAACUCCUUUCGACCGCGAGGAAGCCACCUGGUUGGAAGGGUGGUGACGGUAGUGGUAGAAGAAGCACCGGCUAACUACGU
rnacentral:rRNA from 1 species